AGUGAACGCUGGCGGUAGGCCUAACACAUGCAAGUCGAACGGCAGCACAGUAAGAGCUUGCUCUUACGGGUGGCGAGUGGCGGACGGGUGAGGAAUACAUCGGAAUCUACUUUUUCGUGGGGGAUAACGUAGGGAAACUUACGCUAAUACCGCAUACGACCUACGGGGGAAAGCAGGGGAUCUUCGGACCUUGCGCGAUUGAAUGAGCCGAUGUCGGAUUAGCUAGUUGGCGGGGUAAAGGCCCACCAAGGCGACGAUCCGUAGCUGGUCUGAGAGGAUGGUCACCCACACUGGAACUGGGACACGGUCCCGGCUCCUACGGGAGGCAGCAGUGGGGAAUGUUGGGCAAUGGGCGCAAGCCUGAUCCAGCCAUACCGCGUGGGUGAAGAAGGCCUUCGGGUUGUAAAGCCCUUUUGUUGGGAAAGAAAAGCAGCAGGUUAAUACCCCGCUGUUCUGACGGUACCCAAAGAAUAAGCACCGGCUAACUUCGUG
rnacentral:rRNA from 1 species